AGGUUAAGUUAACAAGGGCGCAUGGUGAAUGCCUUGGCACUAGGAGCCGAUGAAGGACGGGACUAACACCGAUAUGCUUCGGGGAGCUGUACGUAAGCUAUGAUCCGGAGAUUUCCGAAUGGGGCAACCCAGCAGUUUUAAUCAACUGUUACCACUAGAUGAAUUCAUAGUCUAGUUGGAGGUAAACGCUGUGAACUGAAACAUCUCAUUAGCAGCAGGAAUAUAAAGAAAUUUCGAUUCCCUAAGUAGCGGCGAGCGAACGGGGAACAGCCCAAACCAAAGUGCUUGCACUUUGGGGUUGUAGGACUGAACAUUUGAGUUACCAAAGAACUUGAUAGUCGAAGGAUUUGGGAAAAUCCGCCAUAGAUGGUGAUAGCCCAGUAGAUUAAAUCAAAUUCUCUCAGUUCAGGAUCCUGAGUACGGCGGAACACGUGAAAUUCCGUCGGAAUCCGGGAGGACCAUCUCCCAAGGCUAAAUACUACCUAGUGACCGAUAGUGAACCAGUACCGUGAGGGAAAGGUGAAAAGCACCCCGGGAGGGGAGUGAAAUAGUUCCUGAAACCAUGUGCCUACAAUAAGUCAGAGCGCGUUAAUGCGUGAUGGCGUGCCUUUUGUAGAAUGAACCGGCGAGUUAUGAUCCCGUGCAAGGUUAAGACUAAAAAGUCGGAGCCGUAGCGAAAGCGAGUCUGAAAUGGGCGUUUUGAGUACGAGGUUAUAGACCCGAAACCAGGUGACCUAUCCAUGUCCAGGUUGAAGGUGCGGUAAAACGCACUGGAGGACCGAACCCGUGUAAGUUGAAAAUUGCUGGGAUGAGGUGUGGAUAGCGGUGAAAUUCCAAACGAACUUGGAGAUAGCUGGUUCUCUCCGAAAUAGCUUUAGGGCUAGCCUCGGAAUUAGGAUCAUGGAGGUAGAGCACUAUUUGGACUAGGGGCCCGUCUUGGGUUACUGAAUUCAGAUAAACUCCGAAUGCCAUUGAUUCAUAUCCGGGAGUCAGACGAUGAGUGAUAAGAUCCACCGUCGAAAGGGGAACAGCCCAGACCAUCAGUUAAGGUCCCUAAAUGUAUGCUAAGUGGAAAAGGAUGUGGAGUUGCAUAGACAACUAGGAUGUUGGCUCAGAAGCAGCCACCAUUUAAAGAGUGCGUAAUAGCUCACUAGUCGAGUGAUCCUGCGCCGAAAAUGUACCGGGGCUAAGCAUACUACCGAAACCAUGGAUGCGACCAUUAGGUCGCGUGAUAGGAGAGCGUUCUAAGGGCGGUGAAGCAAGAUCGUGAGGACUUGUGGAGCGCUUAGAAGUGAGAAUGCCGGUAUGAGUAGCGAAAGAUAGGUGAGAAUCCUAUCCACCGAAUGACUAAGGUUUCCUGGGGAAGGCUCGUCCUCCCAGGGUUAGUCGGGACCUAAGUCGAGGCCGAGAGGCGUAGACGAUGGAUAACAGGUUGAGAUUCCUGUACUAGUUAAGUGCGUUUGAGCAAUGGAGGGACGCAGGAGGCUAAGAUGUGCAUUCUGUUGGAUUAGAAUGUCCAAGCAGUAAGUCUUGUGAAGAGUCAAAUGCUUUUCACUUUAAGGACAAGCUGUGAUGGGGAGCGAAAUUUAGUAGCGAAGCGUCUGAUGUCACACUGCCGAGAAAAGCUUCUAGUGAGUACUUAACUACCCGUACCGCAAACCGACACAGGUAGUCGAGGAGAGAAUCCUAAGGUGAGCGAGUGAACUCUCGUUAAGGAACUCGGCAAAAUGACCCCGUAACUUCGGGAGAAGGGAGGCGGAUCGCAAGAUCGGCCGCAGAAUAGGCCCAGGCGGCUGUUUAUCAAAGACACAGGGCUCUGCAGAAACGUUAGAAGACGUAUAGGGGCUGGCGCCUGCCCGGUGCUGGAAGGUUAAAAGGAUGGGUUAGCUUCGGCGAGAGCUCAGAAUUGAAGCCCCAGUAAACGGCGGCCGUAACUAUAACGGUCCUAAGGUAGCGAAAUUCCUUGUCGGGUAAGUUCCGACCCGCACGAAAGGCGUAACGAUCUGGGCACUGUCUCAACGAGAGACUCGGUGAAAUUAUAUUGUCCGUGAAGAUGCGGACUACCCGCGACAGGACGGAAAGACCCCAUGGAGCUUUACUGUAGCUUGAUAUUGAGUGUUUGUACAGCUUGUACAGGAUAGGUAGGAGCCAUAGAAACCGGAACGCUAGUUUCGGUGGAGGCGUUGGUGGGAUACUACCCUCGCUGUAUGACCACUCUAACCCGCACCACUAAUCGUGGUGGGAGACAGUGUCAGGUGGGCAGUUUGACUGGGGCGGUCGCCUCCUAAAAAGUAACGGAGGCGCCCAAAGGUUCCCUCAGAAUGGUUGGAAAUCAUUCGCAGAGUGUAAAGGCACAAGGGAGCUUGACUGCGAGACAGACAGGUCGAGCAGGGACGAAAGUCGGGCUUAGUGAUCCGGUGGUACCGUAUGGAAGGGCCAUCGCUCAACGGAUAAAAGCUACCCUGGGGAUAACAGGCUUAUCUCCCCCAAGAGUCCACAUCGACGGGGAGGUUUGGCACCUCGAUGUCGGCUCAUCGCAUCCUGGGGCUGUAGUCGGUCCCAAGGGUUGGGCUGUUCGCCCAUUAAAGCGGUACGCGAGCUGGGUUCAGAACGUCGUGAGACAGUUCGGUCCCUAUCCGUCGCGGGCGUAGGAAAUUUGAGAGGACCUGUCCUUAGUACGAGAGGACCGGGAUGGACAUACCUCUGGUGUACCAGUUGUGCCGCCAGGCGCAUCGCUGGGUAGCUACGUAUGGAUGUGAUAAACGCUGAAAGCAUCUAAGUGUGAAACACACCUCGAGAUGAGAUUUCCCAUUCCUUUAUGGAAGUAAGACCCCUGAAAGAUGAUCAGGUAGAUAGGUUAGAAGUGGCAGUGCGGUGACGCAUGAAGCGGACUAAUACUAAUCGGUCGAGGACUUAACCAAG
rnacentral:rRNA from 1 species